ACGACGCUGGCGGCGUGCCUAAUACAUGCAAGUCGAACGGUCUUUCUAUGGAAGCUUGCUCCACUGAGAAGAUAGUGGCGAACGGGUGAGUAACACGUGGGUAACCUGCCCAUAAGAGGGGGAUAACAUCCGGAAACGGGUGCUAAUACCGCAUAGUUUUCUUGAUCGCAUGAUCGGGAAAGGAAAGACGGCCUUUGUGCUGUCGCUUAUGGAUGGACCCGCGGCGUAUUAGUUAGUUGGUGAGGUAACGGCUCACCAAGACGAUGAUACGUAGCCGACCUGAGAGGGUGAUCGGCCACAUUGGGACUGAGACACGGCCCAAGCUCCUACGGGAGGCAGCAGUAGGGAAUCUUCCGCAAUGGACGAAAGUCUGACGGAGCAACGCCGCGUGAGUGAAAGAAGGUUUUCGGAUCGUAAAACUCUGUUGUCAGAGAAGAACAAGUUGGAGAGUAACUGCUCCAGCCUUGACGGUAUCUGACCAGAAAGCCACGGCUAACUACGUGCCAGCCGCCGC
rnacentral:rRNA from 1 species